CAGCAGCCGCGGUAAUACGAAGGGGGCUAGCGUUGUUCGGAAUUACUGGGCGUAAAGCGCACGUAGGCGGAUAUUUAAGUCAGGGGUGAAAUCCCGCAGCUCAACUGCGGAACUGCCUUUGAUACUGGGUAUCUUGAGUAUGGAAGAGGUAAGUGGAACUGCGAGUGUAGAGGUGAAAUUCGUAGAUAUUCGCAAGAACACCAGUGGCGAAGGCGGCUUACUGGCUCGAUACUGACGCUGAGGCGCGAAAGCGUGGGGAGCAAACAGGAUUAGAUACCCGCGUAGUCCCUGUCUCUUAUAC
rnacentral:rRNA from 1 species